GAUGAACGUUGGCGGCGUGGAUUAGGCAUGCAAGUCGAGCGCUCAUAGCAAUAUGGGAGCGGCGAACGGCGUAGUAAUAUGUAGGAACGUACCCUCGGGUCGGGGAUAGCCAUGGGAAACUGUGGGUAAUACCCGAUAAUCUCUGCGGAGCAAAGGUGUGAUUCCGCCUGAGGAGCGGCCUACACGAUAUUAGCUAGUUGGUAGGGUAAUGGCCUACCAAGGCUACGAUGUCUAGGGGGUGUGAGAGCAUGGCCCCCACGACCGGAACUGAGAUACUGUCCGGACACCUACGGGUGGCUGCAGUCGAGAAUCUUCCGCAAUGGACGAAAGUCUGACGGAGCGACGCCGCGUGCGGGAUGAAGGCCCUUGGGUUGUAAACCGCUGUCAGAGGGGAUGAAAUCUUCGGAGGUGCUCCUCCAAAGUUGACAGAGCCUCAAAGGAAGCACGGGCUAAGUACGUGCCAGCAGCCGC
rnacentral:rRNA from 1 species